AUUGAACGCUGGCGGCAUGCCUUACACAUGCAAGUCGAACGGUAACAGGUCUUCGGAUGCUGACGAGUGGCGAACGGGUGAGUAAUACAUCGGAACGUGCCCGAGAGUGGGGGAUAACGAGGCGAAAGCUUUGCUAAUACCGCAUACGAUCUCAGGAUGAAAGCAGGGGACCGCAAGGCCUUGCGCUCACGGAGCGGCCGAUGGCAGAUUAGGUAGUUGGUGGGAUAAAAGCUUACCAAGCCGACGAUCUGUAGCUGGUCUGAGAGGACGACCAGCCACACUGGGACUGAGACACGGCCCAGACUCCUACGGGAGGCAGCAGUGGGGAAUUUUGGACAAUGGGCGCAGCCUGAUCCAGCCAUGCCGCGUGCAGGAUGAAGGCCUUCGGGUUGUAAACUGCUUUUGUACGGAACGAAAAGGCUCUGGUUAAUACCUGGGGUCCAUGACGGUACCGUAAGAAUAAGCACCGGCUAACUACGUGCCAGCCGCCGCGGUAACAC
rnacentral:rRNA from 1 species